rnacentral:rRNA from 1 species
GAAUAUUGGACAAUGGGCGAAAGCCUGAUCCAGCCAUGCCGCGUGUGUGAAGAAGGUCUUCGGAUUGUAAAGCACUUUAAGUUGGGAGGAAGGGCAGUAAGCGAAUACCUUGCUGUUUUGACGUUACAGAAAGAAUAAGCGACGGCUAACUCUGUGCCAUCAGCCGCGGUAAUACAGAGGGUGCAAGCGUCAAACGGAAUUACUGGGCGUAAAGCGCGCGUAGUUGGUUCGUUAAGUUGGAUGUGAAGUCCCCGGGCUCAACCUGGGAACUGCAUCCAAAACUGGCGAGCUAGAGUAGGGCAGAGUGUGGUGGAAUUUCCUGUGUAGCGGUGAAAUGCGUAGAUAUAGGAAGGAACACCAGUGGCGAAGGCGACCACCUGGGCUCAUACUGACACUGAGGUGCGAAAGCGUGGGGAGCAAACA